GUUAGGAUGGCUGAGUGGUUAAAAGCAACAGUCUGCAAAACCGUACAAUUACGGGUUCAAAUCCCGUCCCCUAUUCCA
rnacentral:tRNA from 1 species